rnacentral:rRNA from 1 species
GAUGAACGCUGGCGGCGUGCAUAACACAUUCAAGUCGAACGGACAAAUGUCUUCGGACAUUUGUUAGUGGCGGACGGGUGAGUAACGCGUGAGCAACCUACCUUUGAUUGGGGGAUAACACAGGGAAACUUGUGCUAAUACCGCAUGACACAUACUGACCGCAUGAUCGGUAUGUCAAAGAAGCAAUUUGAUCGAAGAUGGGCUCGCGUCCGAUUAGAUAGUUGGUGGGGUAACGGCCUACCAAGUCGACGAUCGGUAGCCGAACUGAGAGGUUGAACGGCCACAUUGGAACUGAGAAACGGUCCAG